UACGGAGGGUGCAAGCGUUAUCCGGAUUUAUUGGGUUUAAAGGGUCCGUAGGCGGAUCUGUAAGUCAGUGGUGAAAUCUCACAGCUUAACUGUGAAACUGCCAUUGAUACUGCAGGUCUUGAGUGUUAUUGAAGUAGCUGGAAUAAGUAGUGUAGCGGUGAAAUGCAUAGAUAUUACUUAGAACACCAAUUGCGAAGGCAGGUUACUAAGCAACAACUGACGCUGAUGGAUGAAAGCGUGGGGAGCGAACAGG
rnacentral:rRNA from 1 species